CACCCUCGCUCUCACCAUCGCGCUCAAUAUCUUUUCAGCCUCGCGCUCUUUCCUCCCGGUGCUAUCACCACAGUUUUCCCUAACCAUCGCCAUUGUUGCUCUCCCUCUCACAAACCUCUGUCUUCUUCCCCUUCUCCUUCACCUCUCUUCUUUUUCCUUCUUCGUGUCGCCGCCACCAUGUUGCACCACCGCCUCCCUCCUCUUCAUUCUUUAUCUUUGUAGUGAUGGUGAACAAUAUAAUGCUUCUUACCUCCUUUUAUAUUUCACCUCAACAUAUUUGAAGAAAAAAUUGAUUUUUAGUGAACCCUAACUCGCAGGUUCCGUCGUUGUGGCACUGGUCACCACAACAAGGUGCUCGAUCUUCUUUCCUCUUGGUAGAUUCAUUGCUGGCAGUUUGGCCACGAAGAACUUACAAGACAUGGAAAAAUCUUGGUCCAUCAUCGAUAAUUAAGAGUGUUUGAGACUUGGGUAUCUGGUCAUGCACACAUGGGUUCAGGUUUCAACUCCUCAACAUCGCACCUCCCAACACCUCCGUUCUAGCAAGCCGAAGAGGUUUGCAUGGAUUGGUCUCAGGCAAAGAUGAAUUGGGCAAAGCCCAUAGCAAAGUUAUAGAACGUACAAGAAAGAAAAACAAGGAACAAUCUAAAACAUGUGCGGCAAUAGUGAGUAUCCGCUUCGGUCACAAAUGCCAUCACCGAUGAGCAUGCAAAAGGGAUUAGCGUGAUUGUGAAGGGAGAAAGGAGCCAUGUGACGGCAACACCACCGUGGUGGCGUGACACAGAGCGUGAAUAGGGGAAAGGAGAUCAUUUAGAACCGUGGUGGUGUGGGAACUCUGAUUUGGAGAUCGUUUUGGUCGUGAAAGAGUGAAAAAGAAGACAAUAAGGUGAGGAGGAAAUAAGCCGCAGGAAAUCGCUUCAACAUCUGAGUGCGACGCCAGUGUCUGUGCCGUCUUGCAGUAUUUGUACAAAUGGUGCACACAACAUGAUUAUACGACAAGAAAUAAUUUGUUACAGUGGCGGCAACUUCCAAUGCAACCACUGGCUGAGAAACCAAGCAAAGCAUGCUCAACUGAAGGAACAGGUAGGAAAGCCUACAGAAUAGAGUAGAACCGUCUAGAUUGCACCUUCUAUGUGUUUUACUUUUUCUUAUUAGUUUAUUAUUAUUUUUAUUCACAAUUUUAGUAUUACUAUUUCAUGUUUUUCAUGUAUAAGUGUUACUUGAACUUAUUGAAUGGAAAAUGAUACAUAAUUUAAUUUA